GCUACACAGGGUCCAGGGCCAUGCCUAGACACUUUAUGAUAUCUCCAGGGAUGGAGACUCCACAGUCUCUCUGAUCAACCUCUGCCAGUGCUUGGUCACUUGUACAGUGGAAAGGGAUUCCCUGAUGUUCAGAUGGAGCUUCCUGUGCUCCAGUUUGUGCCAGUUGCCUGUCACUGGGUGUCAUUGUGAAGAGCCCAUGUCCAUCAUCUUUAUACCAUCCCUCUGGUUUUCACCUGCUAAGAUCCUCCCUCAGCUUUUGCUUAAUGGGGAUGAAGUACUAAAGGAAGGCUGAAAUAGGCCAAGAUACCUAGUGAAAGACAUAUUAAGUCAGCAAAAUUUUCUGGUGCUGUUCUUGCAUGAUUCAAACAAUUUUGAGGCUUGCUUUUUUUCAUACAAACCUGUAAAUAUAUCCUCUUAAUGACAGUGCAGGUCUUGAGUGUUGUUGGAGCCUGGGUGCUACUCUGGCAAAAAGUACAAAACAGUCUGCAAAAAAAAGUACCUGAAGAAGUCAAUGAGGGCUUUCUAAAUACAUCCUGGACUGUGCAGCAGCCUACUGUUACAGUAUGCCUUGGGGCUGGUUUGACAUCCAAAAUGGUCAAGUGUACACUAGGCUUGAGUGCAGCGGUGAGAAGCAGUCUAGCUCACAUAGGGCUUUCAAUCCCAAGGAAAGACCGGCUUAAUUACGUGUUGGCUGCUUUACCUCUCAGCAAGUAUUUGGAAGGUUGAGGAAAAGGAGGGACGGCAGAGAAAGUGAAGGGCUGCCACACUACCAAAAACCUGGGAGAGAAUCCAAUUUUUGUGGGUUCUUCUUUGCCCACUUACUUCCUGAUUAAAGAGACCUACAAACUUGAAUUUCAUGUAAGGUGAUUCCAGACUGUUGUUUUGCUUAGGAGAUUAAUUUUCCUUUAGUAUUUCCUGUGCCACUGUGAUUCUUUUCUCCAGUACAAAAUUCUCCUCUUUUUAUCUGUCUAGCAAAUUCCAGCUGUAUUGACUCAAGGAUGUCUCAUUAUGUAGCUGGUUAUAGUAAGGCUUUGUGUAAGACUGUUGUCUGUGGGUGGAUGCCCAAGAGGGCAAGACCCUUACAGCCUUUCUAAGAGGAUGUGACCAUUUGUAGGACCUGCAGAGUAGUCUUCUCUACUUUAUGCCAAACACUCUGCUACUCUUGGGGCAUCCAGGGGAAGUGCUUGGGAGAGCAGUCUGCUGCUGACUAACCUCUCAAAAUGCCCUGUGGCAGUGAUGUUCUCCGUAGUGUGUUGUACCUGUGCAUAUUACCUGCUUUUCCUCAUAUUCCUCCACCUCAGAAUGACUUGGUGAAUUUGGGAUUCUGGAGUUUAGGUGGAGGUUUGCAAGUUAGGGUCAACUUGUUUACAUCUUUGCUUGCAGCCAUGGCAGAGCACAGUAAGGUUUGGACAUGAUAAGACACAAGCUGUCAGCUCUGAGUGCUCCCUCACAUGCCUUAGAUGAAUCAAAAUUAGAUGUUUUUCUCUGAACAUGAAUUUAAUAAAUACAUGCAGAAAGUGCAUGUAAAUACACAGUAGUGACUCCUGCCUUAUUAAUAGAUCAUGAGGUGUGGAUCAUGAGGGUGAACAAUACAGGGACAUUUUUAACAGUGUUUCUGAAGUAAAAUAACAAAUAUAACAGAAGCAUUUGGGAAUGAAAAUCAACUGCCACUGCAGCUGGGAAUGUAGGCCUUGGGACUGGCACUAAUAGCCUGUGUAAGGAAUUUCAAUGCAAAAUUAUACAAGUCUAGGGCUGUGAGUUAAAUACUCCAAAGAGAGAGCAAAGUGGAAUAUAGUAUGGGCUGAAUCCCUCUUCUGCUAGGACUAAGACAUUUAAUAGAGCACGUGUACAUUAGUAGAAGAGUAGUCACACUCCACUAAGAUCUGAGUGACCAAGCCUUUAAAAAUCUAUUCAAAACAUACCCUGUUCUGUUGCAUAUCAGGAAAUCUCAGAUAAAUGUUUCUUCAUCCUUCUGAUCUGUGCUAUUUUAAUACCAAUUGGCAGUUCCAUUGAUGGCACAGUAUGAUUUAACAAACUGAAAGGAUAUAGCAGAAUGAGAAGGAAACUUCCAGACACUAAUCUCACAUAACAAGGAGUAAUAGAUAUUUUGUGUAAAACCAGUUUGGGGAAAAUGCCCUUGUGUAAUAAUAAUUAUUGACCAGUUUCACCAUCUUCGGAAAAUUACUUUUUUCACAACUGUUCUGUAUGUGAGGCUUUUAAACCUGUCUGUCAUUAUUCAUUCAGAUUAGCUGAAAUGUAAAGUAACAUAUAGAUAAAACACAAUUUGAGGCUCUACCCGUUCUGUCUCUCAUUGUCCAAAUCUUGCCUGUUUGACAGAGAGGUCACAUGUCAUCACAGGCACGUUGAUUCGGACUAGUACUGUUCUUCUUCCAACAAGAAACUUUUAAUUGUUUUUGUUGCCAGCAGUUGUAUUCAUAAGGACAUGAUGACUAAGCUUCACAUGUUUCUAUUAAUAUAAAGUUGGCUAUCAUUGGUAUCAAUAUUUGCUGUUGCAUAAUGAGAAACAUUUUUGAUAACCACUUAAAAAUUUCGAGAAACAUCUCAAAUGUAUAUUUCUGUAUAGAUUUGGGUUUAAAGGUUCUCAGUUACACAGGACAAAGGAAAACUUAUUUCUGUCAGGACAUGAACAGCUUGCUUGGGGUUUUUUGUUAUUUGCCAAUUGCAGUGGAAAUGAUGCAGCAGAAAAAAAACUGCUGAGGAGUCAGUUGUAUUUUCUAGGUACUUUCUGGUUUUGAAAUAACACUAUUGAUUAUCACAAGUGGUGCAGUUGUUUGAAUUCAACUGCUGCCAAGUUUUUACACUGCUGAUUGUGGUGAGAGUAGAGAAAUCAACAUUAGAAGCAACUUCUUAACUCAGAUAGUGUUAUUUUAAAUAUUAAAUAUAAAAGUAUAUUUAGAUUAAGUAUUUAUUUUGUGUUAUUUUCAUGGCAUUUCUUAAAUUACAGUAUAUCUUAAGAGUGGUGAAAAAAAUAACGUGUACUGGGGAGCAGUCUGCUGCUGCUGCUGCUGCUGCUGGAGAAAGCUGUGAUUUACCAGAACAGGUGGACAACCAGAAGGUUGUGAAUUAAUGUGCAAGAUGACACAAAGCCACUGGUACUAUAAAUCCCCUGAUGAAUGAUGAUAAAUAAUGUAUUUCUCUCGAUCAGGAAAGACAGCAUUUUCACCAGAUAAAGCCUGUGAUAGAGGUCUCUGACAAAGAAAAGCAUGAUCAUAGAAUCAUAGAAUCACAGAAUAUCCUUUGUUGGAAGGGUCCCAAAAGGAUUUUCGAAGUCCAGCUCCUUACUCUGCACAGGGCAGCCCCAAGAAUCCCAUCCUGUGCCUGAGAGCAUUGUCCAAAUGCUCCUUGAGCACUGGCAGGCUUGCUCAGAUAUGACCUCUGCCCUGGGGAGCCUGUUCUUCAAGGCUCUUGGUCUUAGUUUGAAAGCAAGUGCCCCCUGGGAAAGCAGAGCACACCCACACCCCAGGAACUUUUCAGGGGUUUGCAUAGCUCAGACUUGGAGGGGUCUGCUGCUCUCAGUGUCUUUCCUUGCAAGGGUUACUGUAUUAGCUGGGGUCUGUGGACCCACCUUCACUUCUACCCUAAGCUUAGGCAGGGCCUCUACCUAAAUAAAUAGCAAAGACAUUAGCAAAAACUUGUGUUCCAAAAUGAAAGACCAUAUGUUUUAUUUUGCAAGUAUUGCUCUUAGUGAUUCUUCUGGGGAGCUAGAAGAAGUAAAAUAUUAACUGUUCUGAAAGGGGAGGGAGGCAACUUCAUAAUAGCUGGUGUGUUUGAAGCACUGCAUUUGAUAAAGCAGUUCAAACAGCAGCCCUGAGCUGGUGACAGAGUAGCACAACUGCAAAUACUGCUCUGUGGGAGGAGUUUGGAACUAUGCCUGGGUAUAUCUAGGCAUACAAAUACACCUGGUUUUCUAAAACUUACCUCCACUUACAUCCAAAAUGCAAAACUAAGCAGCAUGUUCCUUGUUUGUCCUGCUGCACACAGCUCGAUUCACUCCAUCCUUCCCUGUCUGACCUGAGCAUCUUCUCAGCGCCCCCAGCUGUGUAUGCACAGACCAGUCACAGCCCAGGAAAGCUGUUGCCUUGUCCCUGAUUAGGUGCAGUGCUUGAGUUUUGAGGUGCAGGAGUGGCAUUUCCAAUGUCCUCAGUCUGUGAGCACAGGCGAAUCCGGCCUCUGACAAAAUGCAGCCCUUUGCCUUCCGACUGGGGUGCCUUGCUGGAAACAGAGAGGACUUGACCCCUCACCUCAGAGUUGUGAAUUAUAUUUCAAAAACAGAAGCAUGAAAUUAGGUGGAGAGCUCUGGUACCCAAACACUAGGGUUCUGUUUCUUGUUUUCCCUCCCUUCUCACAAAAUAUUACAAAAGUUGCAGGUAAAGGACCCAUUUGCAACAUGACAGGAUCAGGGUUCAUCCUCUGCCUGUGUGCUCCGACUUCCUCAGCCUGUUUUCUGGUGGUGGGGGACACUGUCUUUGAAGCUGACAAGACUUUCCAUUACAUUCCUCUGAGUAUUCUUUGAAUUACUUUGGUAGAAAUUUCUAAAAAGCCACAAAACCCCAAACUGCUAUCACCAGUUUUCCUUAGUUCUUCUCAUCCCCUUCUGAUCAUUAGUUCUCCAGACAUUAACCUGUUUAUGUUGAUCAAACACUGCUCUUCUGAAGAUACCACCUGGAUUUUAUUUUAAUCCAUCUGCAUUAUUUUAAGCUUGGAAUACAAGAGUUAUAAAAAAGAGGGACCAGGCCAUAAAAACUGUGAUAGUUAGCUUGGAUUAAACUGAGCUUUUUCAGAUGCUGUCAGAGUUUCAAAGAGCAAAAUACAAUAUUGUCAACUGCUAGCUAACUUCCAGAUCCAAGAUAUUCUUGAUUCAUUGGCUACACAGCCAUUAUAGUUGAGCAAGUAUUACUGUGUAUAUAUAUAUAUUUAUAAUAUAUAAAAUAUUAAAAUGAAGCUUCAUCUGAAGGAAAAAAAUGGCAUUUAGGUAGAUAAAGCCCUGGAAUAUCCUUACAGUGAAAACAUCAAGUUUAACUAUUGAUGGAAUGAAUUAGAAUUAGUUAACCAAAAAUUUCUCUGGAAAACAAAUGAGAGGUGGUGAGAAAAAUUGUGUUGCUGUGAGUUGAAUUUAAAGUCAGCAUGCUUAUAGAAGCUGUUGAAGUACAAAAUACGUUUCCAUUAUCAGUUAAAAGCAGAAAACAAACUUCUAUGAAAAUGAGUUCCAGAAAGGAAAGGUGCCUCCAUAUCAAUGUCAGAGCAGACAUACCAGAGAUAGUCUUCUCCCUACCCUACAAGCUGUGACAGAGAAAUAAGCUUAUACUAGGGAGAAAACCUGUUGCUGUUAGUUAAAAAAAAUUAAAAAGGAAAGGAGUUCAAAAGAGCAUUUAGGAAAAAUAAAUCAACAAAUCUGUAAGAGAUUGGAAAGCAGAGUAAUUAUAAAACAAGUAGUUAAUUGCAACAGACUCUUACAAUCAGGGAAAAACUUCCCAUUAAGAAAAUUAAUUGGCUUUUAAUAAAUUAAGACAGUUGUGUUGCUACAAAUAAAUCCUUCUUUUCUUUUAAUAAAACAUUGGUGUGGGUAUUAAGUUAACUUUUCUAUAGAGAGCCAUCUGACAGAAGGUUAGAGCAAUUCUAACACAAAACACAAUGAAAUUAUUGAAUUCAAAAAAGGAAAUGAUAAACAAAAAUUCUAGCAGAGAACAGGUAACAGAAAAGUUCAGCCCUGGGACUUAAACAGCAUUAAGAUUAAACCUUUCUGCUUUAUCAAAAAGUACUGUUGUCUCAAACUAAUGAUGGAUGGUUAAACUGUGAACAGGGUUUCAGAAAUAAUUAGGCAAAAGGCAGGAUGAAACAGGAGUUGACUUCAUAGCCCAGCUUUAAAGAAAAUUAGUAACAAGAAGAAAGAAAGAAUUACCUGGAGUAGCAACGGAAAAAAAUAACAUUCCAGAUCUGCUGUCCAGAGUGAGGGCAAAGUGUGAUAAGUGGGCACAGCAAAGGAUGCCAAGCAGCCCAGGCACUAUGCCUGGCUGCCUCUCUCUUUCCCUUGCUUCCUCCCUCCCUUCCUUGGGGAUCUGGUCCUGCUUGGAGUUUCCAGGAGUUCCUGCAGCACCAGAGAUGAAUCAGCAGAUGUGUCCUGGAGUUUUUGGUCCUACAGACUGGCUCUGGAGAAGAGGAUUGGAAAGUGCUUCAUCAGACAAAAACCUACAAAUGCUAAAACAGUGUCUUGGGCUGCAAUGCAAGAUGUAACCAAAGAUAUGUGUUCUAUUACCAUUUGUUAAAACCAAGUGGGGCAGUGUUCUUUAUCUUUUCCACAACCCAUCCUCCCUCCAGUGGGAUCUCUUCUGAUAAUGGGCCAUUGAGUCUCAUUACAUGACUGAUAAAAUUACAU